rnacentral:rRNA from 1 species
UACGUAGGGUGCGAGCGUUAUUCGGAAUUACUGGGCGUAAAGCGUACGCAGGCGGUUCGCCAAGUCAGGUGUGAAAUCCCCGGGCUUAACCUGGGAAUUGCGCUUGAAACUAGCGGGCUUGAGUGUGGCAGAGGGGGGUGGAAUUCCACGUGUAGCAGUGAAAUGCGUAGAGAUGUGGAGGAACACCGAUGGCGAAGGCAGCCCCCUGGGUCAACACUGACGCUCAUGCACGAAAGCGUGGGGAGCGAACAGG